GCGGGCGUGGCGGAAUGGUAGACGCGCUGGUUCGAGAUACCAGUAUCUUUGAUGUGGAGGUUCGACUCCUCUCGCCCGCACCA
rnacentral:tRNA from 1 species